AAGUGGCGAACGGCUGAGUAACACGUGGGCAACCUGCCCUUUGCACUGGGAUAGCCUCGGGAAACCGAGGUUAAUACCGGAUACUCCAUAUUUGUCGCAUGGCGAAUAUGGGAAAGCUCCGGCGGCAAAGGAUGGGCCCGCGGCCUGUUAGCUAGUUGGUGGGGUAGUGGCCUACCAAGGCAAUGAUGGGUAGCCGGGUUGAGAGACCGACCGGCCAGAUUGGGACUGAGACACGGCCCAGACUCCUACGGGAGGCAGCAGCC
rnacentral:rRNA from 1 species